rnacentral:rRNA from 1 species
UACGUAGGGGGCAAGCGUUGUCCGGAUUUAUUGGGCGUAAAGAGCGUGUAGGCGGACUGGUAGGUCCGUUGUGAAAACUCGAGGCUCAACCUCGAGACGCCGAUGGAAACCCUCAGACUAGAGUCCGGAAGAGGAGAGUGGAAUUCCUGGUGUAGCGGUGAAAUGCGCAGAUAUCAGGAGGAACACCUAUUGCGAAGGCAGCUCGCUGGGACGUUACUGACGCUGAGACGCGAAAGCGUGGGGAGCAAACAGG